UACGUAGGGGGCAAGCGUUGUCCGGAUUUAUUGGGCGUAAAGAGCGUGUAGGCGGCCAGGUAGGUCUGCUGUGAAAACUCGAGGCUUAACCUCGAGAUGUCGGCGGAAACCAUCUGGCUAGAGUCCGGAAGAGGAGAGCGGAAUUCCUGGUGUAGCGGUGAAAUGCGCAGAUAUCAGGAGGAACACCGAUGGCGAAGGCAGGUCUCCGGGCCACUACUGACGCUGAGAAGCGAAAGCAUGGGGAGCGAACAGG
rnacentral:rRNA from 1 species